rnacentral:misc_RNA from 1 species
GAUGAAGAACGUAGUGAAAUGCGAUAAGUAAUGUGAAUUGCAGAAUUCAGUGAAUCAUCGAAUCUUUGAACGCACAUUGCGCUCGCCAGUAUUCUGGCGAGCAUGCCUGUUCGAGCGUCAUUUCAACCAUCAAGCUCUGCUUGCGUUGGGGAUCCGCGUCUGACGCGGUCCCUCAAAAACAGUGGCGGGCUCGCUAGUCACACCGAGCGUAGUAACUCUACAUCGCUAUGGUCGUGCGGCGGGUUCUUGCCGUAAAACCCCCAAUUUCUAAGGUUGACCUCGGAUCAGGUAGGAAUACCCGCUGAACUUAAGCAUAUCAAUAAGCGGAGGA